rnacentral:snoRNA from 2 species
ACUUAGCUGAUGAUAUUUCGAGUAGGAAUCUCAUUGAAAUAACCAUGAAAUCAAUAUUGUCUCAACUGAUA